CGUGUACCAGGGGGGUCCCUCGGCCUGGCCUGUGGGAUUGGGCUGAAACUGGCUCUCCUACAUCCCCCAAGGGGUCCCAGAUUGUGAGAGGGUGCAGGCCAGGCCGAGGGACCCCACCGGUGCACG
rnacentral:pre_miRNA from 1 species